AACAGAUCCUCAGCAUUCAGACAGAAACACAAAGAUUUUCCCUGAAAGGAAAAAUGUACAGAUAAAGAUAUAGAAUCAAAUAAACCCUAUACUACAUAAAUACCAUUAGGUCAUUGCUCAUACGGAGGAAAUCACUGGAGCAAUCAGAUGACCCAAAAAACCUCAAGAAAUCCUUGAACUGAUGACCCUAUGAUCUAAAUUAGUCUGACAUAGUAUGCUUCUGAAUGAAGAUAAGUGAAAAAUGACACAAAGGUGGCUCUAGCAAUGUUGCUUCAUUAGUAAGUACACCUAAUCAUUCCUGAAGCAAUUCAAAUGAUGCAACAGCGGGCAGCAAAGUGGAAGACACAAGCCUAUUUUUUCUUCAACGUUGCUGAUCGCUAAUGAGACUGGUCAUUGCAGAAUUAUCUGCUGAAUCACCAGAGGUAACUUUCAGAGGUUUUCAUAAGGCAUCAGCAGCUUUUUAUCAUCUCAUGGGAGCAAAAGCAAAUUGUUUUCAAAUAGCUCUGGAGUACACACUGAGUUUUGCUGGUUUACAGUCACCCACCCAUAAUCUGGAGGACGGAGAACCACAUUGCUUUGUCUGUCUCAGCAUCAGUUCUGAGACGUGAGCUACAUAUAGCGAUAUCUUCUACCUUGAGUUUCAAGUAACUUCAUGGCAAAUGGAACUAUAUUCUCUGCUUAAAUCUACUCAACUUCCCUACUUCCCUUUUCAAACUGUUUUGGGGACUUUUAGCACUAUUGCAUUUAUUUUCUACAAGCGAGUUUACGAAACAGUCGAUAAACCUAUUAAGGAAGCACAGAACAUAUACUUAGGGCUGGUCUACACUAGGAACUUACAUCGGCAUAGCUAUGUCUCUCCGGAGUGUGAAAAAUCCACACCCCCGAGAGAGGUAGCUACGCCAACCUAACCCCAAGUGUACACAGCAUUAGGUCGAAGGAAAAAAAAGCUACCACCUCCCUGAGAGGCGGAUUACCCUCGCUGACUGGAGAACCCCUGCCAUCAGCAUUGGGAGUGUCUACACUGAGGUGCUACAGCAGUGCAGUUGGGCCACUGUGGGAGUUUAAGUGUAGACAUACCCUUAUGCUACCUACUGCUUGUUUGAAUAAUGGUUUUGAUACCUUACUUUUGGUAGGUUCUUCUUUAGAGGCAAAAAAAAAAAAAUAAAAAGGAAUGGGUUCAAAGCAAAAACCAGUUAACAGAAAAUGUUUUGUUUAAAAUCUUAGAACAAAAUUAUCUCUGCAUAAUAUCUACAGAAACUCUAGCUCUCAACUUUCAACAAAUUACAAAACAUUCAAAUUACAGUAAGUGCACUACCACUGUACAGAGCCAUACACAACAAAGAGGAUCAUGUUGGUCAACUAGUUUAAGCAACAUCUAACUAAUCUCAAUGGAAAGUUAAACAUUAAUGGUAUGAUGUGGCUCAAUUUUUUUUUAACAGCGUAUUCAAAUAAGAAUUUCCAAACCAAAAAAGAAUCUAAAAGCAUUAAAGUAUUUAAGUCUGCAUGCUUAAUACCAAGAGUAUUUUUAUUGAUCUAAAAGAACAAAAAUUUACAAUAAAAAUACCUUAAAACA